rnacentral:rRNA from 1 species
UACGUAGGGUGCGAGCGUUAAUCGGAAUUACUGGGCGUAAAGGGUGCGCAGGCGGAUAUAUAAGUUAGAUGUGAAAUCCCCGGGCUUAACCUGGGAAUGGCAUUUAAGACUGUAUGUCUAGAGUUUGUCAGAGGGGGGUAGAAUUCCAAGUGUAGCAGUGAAAUGCGUAGAGAUUUGGAGGAAUACCAGCGGCGAAGGCGGCCCCCUGGGAUAAAACUGACGCUCAGGCACGAAAGCGUGGGUAGCAAACAGG